rnacentral:rRNA from 1 species
GACGAACGCUGGCGGCGCGCUUAACACAUGCAAGUCGAACGGAAAGGCCUGCUUUCCCUUGUGGAUUGCGGGUACUCGAGUGGCGAACGGGUGAGUAACACGUGAGUGAUCUGCCCCCAACUUGGGUAUAAGCCUGGGAAACUGGGUCUAAUUCCCGAUAGGACUGCAGGGUGGUGCCUGUGGUGGAAAACGAUGUUCUAGUGGUUGGGGAUGAGCUCGCGGCCUAUCAGCUUGUUGGUGGGGUAAUGGCCUACCAAGGCGGCGACGGGUAGCCGGCCUGAGAGGGUGGACGGCCACAUUGGGACUGAGAUACGGCCCAGACUCCUACGGGAGGCAGCAGUGGGGAAUAUUGCACAAUGGGCGGAAGCCUGAUGCAGCGACGCCGCGUGGGGGAUGACGGCCUUCGGGUUGUAAACUCCUUUCGACCGCGAGGAAGCCACCUGGUUGGAAGGGUGGUGACGGUAGUGGUAGAAGAAGCACCGGCUAACUACGUG